rnacentral:misc_RNA from 1 species
UACGUAGGUGGCAAGCGUUGUCCGGAAUUAUUGGGCGUAAAGCGCGCGCAGGUGGUUCCUUAAGUUUGAUGUGAAAGCCCACGGCUUAACCGUGGAGGGUCAUUGGAAACUGGGGAACUUGAGUACAGAAGAGGAGAGUGGAAUUCCACGUGUCGCGGUGAAAUGCGUAGAUAUGUGGAGGAACACCCGUGGCGAAGGCGACUCUAUGGUCUGUAACUGACACUGAGGCGCGAAAGCGUGGGGAGCGAACAGG